GCCUUUGUGGUGUAGUGGUCAGCACACUGGGAGCGUAUUCCAGAGUUCUGUGGUUCAAAUCCCGGCGACGGCA
rfam:Stegodyphus mimosarum contig8375, whole genome shotgun sequence.